rnacentral:rRNA from 1 species
UCCUGCCUACGGGGGGCAGCAGUGGGGAAUAUUGCACAAUGGGGGAAACCCUGAUGCAGCGACGCCGCGUGAGUGAAGAAGUAUUUCGGUAUGUAAAGCUCUAUCGGCAGGGAAGAUAAUGACGGUACCUGGCUAAGAAGCCCCGGCUAACUACGUGCCAGCAGCCGCGGUAAUACGUAGGGGGGAAGCGUUAUCCGGAUUUACUGGGUGUAAAGGGUGCGUAGGUGGCAGGGCAAGUCAGAUGUGAAAGCCCGGGGCUCAACCCCGGGACUGCAUUUGAAACUGUCCAGCUGGAGUGCAGGAGG